rnacentral:misc_RNA from 1 species
UUGACUUUUUGUUUGAUUUACACCUAGAGGCACGCCUAGAGCUGGAGCUUGUAGGUCCUACGGCGGCGCCCGGGUUUAGCGGGAGCCGCCGAGGCAACGUCGUGGGUAUGUUCGCGUGGGGUUCGAGCCAGUGGCACUCGGUAAUGAUCCCUCCGCUGGUUCACCAACGGAGA